rnacentral:tRNA from 2 species
UGGUCCGUUGGUCUAGCUGGUUAGGACGCCUGCCUGUCACGCAGGAGAUCACGAGUUCGAGUCUCGUACGGACCGUCCA